AGAAUAUCAUUGUAAUCACUGAUGCUGGAAAGGUUCAUCAGAGAUGAUUCCUGGGGGUAAUUGACCGAACUUGGAGGCUGACAUGGACCAAGUGUAUGCUCUUCCCAAAGGAAAAUGGACCAGGACGGGCAUGUGACAGAGUUCUGGCCAACAGGAUUUCAGGAACAGAGAAGUUGCUUUGGGGAAGGAUUCUGCUUCCUAAUAAACGAAGGUGCUGGCAAAGAUAUUGACAUCUAGCUUCCUUGAACGUGGGAGAAUGUGACGUUUGGAGCUGCAUCAAUCAUCUUGUGACCUUAAAGAGACAAGCCUGAGGAUAAGAAGACAUGGAGGAGGGCAGAGCGAAGGCCAGGAGGAAGCCUGGAUCCUGACCAUACGGCUGAGCUACAGAUCAGUUUCUAAGGCCAGACUUCUGGCUAUGUUAGGGAUUGAUUGAGUUAUCACCCAAACCAGGAUCCUUUUCAGAAUGGAAGUGGGUACUAUCAGAAAUAGCACAAAUACAAACAUGGCACAGUGGGACAUGUGGUCAGCCCUAUGUGAGGUCUCGGAGUGUUAUUAUUGCUGUCACAAAUAUUCUACUACUUGCAACCCAAAUCAGUCCUAGCUUAUAUAUAUAUAAUAUAUAAAUUAUAUAUUUUAAUUAUCUAUUUAUAGCAUACAUAUGGCUAAAAUAUGUAUAAUAAAUAUGCAAUAAAAUGUAUAUAAUAACAUAAAUGCAUUUAUACAUGUAUAUGUAUGUGUGUGUAUAUGUGUGUGUGUAUAUGUGUAUAUA
rnacentral:lncRNA from 1 species